UUAGGACUUGCUGCUAGUAGGAGCCAAUCACACGAUCCUGAUACGAGCUACAAGCCACAGCUGUUGUUAUCGGCAUUCUCGUGCAUUUGUAUGUGCAUGGUGUAGCAUGUGUGAGGUGUUUGAGAACAUAGCUUGGGAUUGUCACGACGUUCACGUUCUCAUCCUCCCUAGGCAGGAACAGGAUGAAGAUGUUGAGGUUGAUGAGGAUGUAGAGGCAGUGACAGAAACACUGUCUUCCCCAACCUUUUCUAUACCGAUUCCAGCCGGGCAGUCAACGCGGCCGUCGACGGCGGAUGAGCACCCAUGGCAUCGAGACACUGGUCGGUUGCGUCGUGCCUGAUCUGCAUUCGUAAUUGACAGCAUACCCCACUCGAAGAUGCCACGGAAGUGCUGGCGGCCGUGGUACACAGGCCGGUACUCAAACGUGUCCUUGUCGAUACCGUCGAUGACCGGCACGGUCAUGGCACGCCUGCAGUGGUAAUACCAGAAGAUGU
rnacentral:lncRNA from 1 species